GGUAUCUGGGAUGACAUCCAACAGGACCGUUUCAGGUAGAAAAGGUUGGAAAGCGGGUCUGAAACAAGCAAAAUGGAGGUUGGACUCUGUGGAUGGGAGAUCGAUGCCAACUUCUGUAUUCAGGCAAAAAGGAGUCAAAGGCACAGGUACCCCUGGACUCGAACGUUGUUCUGCGGCUUCAGAACCAACAUGGCGACCCCACCUGAAUCUAUGCC